GGGGAUGAUCGGCUUCGACGGGAGAGGCUGGUUCCGGAAUGCGAGCCGAGCGCGCGCCGAACUCGUAAACUCAGCGCAAAAUUUAAGUGCCAAUCGCACUUCAUACGCUGCUAUGCCCCUCGCCGCUUAAGGUGAGACAUAACAGUCAAUCUCCUAGAUGAGAUUGCGUCCGCCGUCACCGCUCCCCGCCGGGUGACGGACCGGGCGAAACAAAGGCGGGGUGCUGCGUAUGACUCUGCUAAAUGCGCCCAAGACUAGCAGAUGGUCACAGGGUUACCUGCCCGCCGAGAUCCCUGUGAUGACUAAAUUCGGCAGGCUACGCUCGUAGAGUUCCGAGGGUCGAAUCUUUCGGACCCGGGUUCAAUUCCCGGCAUCUCCACAC
rnacentral:tmRNA from 1 species